rnacentral:rRNA from 1 species
UACGGGAGGCAGCAGUGGGGAAUAUUGGGCAAUGGGCGAAAGCCUGACCCAGCAACGCCGCGUGAAGGAAGAAGGCCUUCGGGUUGUAAACUUCUUUUACCAGGGACGAAGGACGUGACGGUACCUGGAGAAAAAGCAACGGCUAACUACGUGCCAGCAGCCGCGGUAAUACGUAGGUUGCAAGCGUUGUCCGGAUUUACUGGGUGUAAAGGGCGUGUAGGCGGAGAUGCAAGUUAGGAGUGAAAUCUAUGGGCUCAACCCAUAAACUGCUUCUAAAACUGUAUCCCUUGAGUAUCGGAGAGGCAAGCGGAAUUCCUAGUGUAGCGGUGAAAUGCGUAGGUAUUAGGAGGAACACCAGUGGCGAAGGCGGCUUGCUGGACGACAACUGACGCUGAGGCGCGAAAGCGUGGGGAGCAAACAGGAUUAGAUACCCUGGUAGUCCACGCUGUAAACGAUGAAUACUAGGUGUGGGAGGACUGACCCCUUCCGUGCCGCAGUUAACACAAUAAGUAUUCCACCUGGGGAGUACGACCGCAAGGUUGAAACUCAAAGGAAUUGACGGGGGCCCGCACAAGCAGUGGAUUAUGUGGUUUAAUUCGACGCAACGCGAAGAACCUUACCAGGACUUGACAUCCAACUAACGAAGUAGAGAUACAUUAGGUGCCCUUCGGGGAAAGUUGAGACAGGUGGUGCAUGGUUGUCGUCAGCUCGUGUCGUGAGAUGUUGGGUUAAGUCCCGCAACGAGCGCAACCCCUAUUGUUAGUUGCUACGAAAGAGCACUCUAGCGAGACUGCCGUUGACAAAACGGAGGAAGGCGGGGACGACGUCAAAUCAUCAUGCCCCUUAUGUCCUGGGCUACACACGUAAUACAAUGGUGGUAAACAGAGGGAAGCAAAGCCGCGAGGCAGAGCAAAUCCCUAAAAGCCAUCUCAGUUCGGAUUGCAGGCUGCAACUCGCCUGCAUGAAGCUGGAAUUGCUAGUAUCGCGGAUCAGAAUGCCGCGGUGAAUACGUUCCCGGGCCUUGUACACACCGCCCGUCACACCAUGAGAGUCGGGAACACCCGAAGUCCGUAGUCUAACCGCAAGGAGGGCUCGGCCGAAGGUGGGUCCGGUAAUUGGGGUGAAGUCGUAACAAGGUAGCCGUACUAGUACGCUUACUUG